rnacentral:ncRNA from 2 species
ACGGCUUGGGCUGCGACAGGUUCCCCGUGAGGGGAUCAAAAGGGAACACGGGUGCGAUACCCGGGCUGCCCCUGCAACUGUAAGCGGCGAGCCAUCCGGCCAUCAUGCCAUUGGGAUCCCCGGCACCGUUCCGGGCCCCGAGAAGGCGGUCGGACCGGCCUUGACCCGUGAGCCAGGAGACCUGCCUGACGCGGUCGUUCUUC